AUUGAACGCUGGCGGCAUGCCUUACACAUGCAAGUCGAACGGCAGCACGGGAGCAAUCCUGGUGGCGAGUGGCGAACGGGUGAGUAAAGUAUCGGAACGUGCCCAGUCGUGGGGGAUAACGUAGCGAAAGUUACGCUAAUACCGCAUACGAUCUAUGGAUGAAAGCGGGGGAUCGCAAGACCUCGCGCGAUUGGAGCGGCCGAUAUCAGAUUAGGUAGUUGGUGGGGUAAAGGCUCACCAAGCCGACGAUCUGUAGCUGGUGUGAGGGGACGACCAGCCACACUGGGACUGAGACACGGCCCAGACUCCUACGGGAGGCAGCAGUGGGGAAUUUUGGACAAUGGGCGAAAGCCUGAUCCAGCCAUGCCGCGUGCAGGAUGAAGGCCUUCGGGUUGUAAACUGCUUUUGUACGGAACGAAAAGGUUUGGCCUAAUAAGCUGAGCUCAUGACGGUACCGUAAGAAUAAGCACCGGCUAACUACGUGCCAGCCGCCGCAGUAA
rnacentral:rRNA from 1 species